rnacentral:rRNA from 1 species
UACGGAGGGUGCAAGCGUUAUCCGGGUUCACUGGGUUUAAAGGGUGCGUAGGUGGGAAUGUAAGUCAGUGGUGAAAUCUCCGUGCUUAACACGGAAACUGCCAUUGAUACUAUGUUUCUUGAAUUUUCUGGAGGUUAGCGGAAUAUGUCAUGUAGCGGUGAAAUGCUUAGAUAUGACAUAGAACACCAAUUGCGAAGGCGGCUAACUACAGGGAUAUUGACACUGAGGCACGAAAGCGUGGGGAUCAAACAGG